GUGAAAGUUAAAUUUUGUUUCUUGAAUUACCUGUCUUACCAGGAGGCAAACAAAAAGAGGAGCGAAAGGCAUCCGUUAGAACUCCUACAUUGUUUAGGUAAAGGAUUGUUGGCUUGAGUGUCUUCAGUGUAAUUGUGGAAUCUUUGUUGAAGAGACUUUCCUAACUGUCUGCUGUUCCUUUUGAGUCAACACCGUGAUGGUCACGCUGCGGCUGCCUUUGCCAAUUUACCGUGUUCAUGGGCUGUGCUUGUACAGCUUGCCUUCCGAUCAGUCUCAUAGUUUUCUGAGCUGUAAUUUGUCAAAGUUACCUUUUAUUUAUUUAUUUACGUAUCAGUGACAGAUGCUGCACUCAGCUGAUGCAUCAGAGCUGAAUAAAAGGAUGGAUGGAAUAAUAGGGAGUUAUUUCAAUUACAGCAAGCUUACAGUGAAAGCAAAAUCAGUGGCACUCUGUAAGUGUAAUUUACUUUCCUAUAUCAUUUAAUUUUUUGACUAGCACAGACUUUCACAUUUUAUAAGAAGUGCUGAUUCAGGGCAGGAAGUAAGAGCAUCUCUGAGCAGGCUCUUGCUUUUCUUCUGAAAGCCAUUACUUUGCGCAUCCCAAGGAUGCUGUUACUGGUACAGGUAUAUAAAUACACCGGAUGUGGUAAUGCGCAGCUGAAUCUGAGAAGGACAUCCUGCUGAAGGAUGUAAUGCUGAAGAAGUUACUUGGAAUACAUUUCCGACUGUCUGUUUCCAUCAGCAAGGGAAAGACCUUCAUCUGUGCUUGUUGCCUCUUCAUGAAGACGGAUGCCUUGCGUUCAGCAUGUGAGCGUGGGCAAGUCCUCCAGACACCCAUGUGGUAAUGGCUACUCAGAAAGCAUGGCAACCAUGCUGGGAAGGGAAAAGACUUCAGAGCAGUCACCAGCACAAACCUGAAGGCAUGCUGCCUUGCCAGGUGCCUGUGUGCCACAAAGCAUUCAUACUGCUGGUGCUUACGGUAACUCCUGCUCCCUCUUAGCAGCAUUCCCUUCUGUUGCACGACACCUGCUGUCUUACAGUCCUGAAACAUUUUGGGUAAGCACCUGGAGUUGGAUGAUUUCUAUGAAGUAGUUGGACUUCUGCAUUCAAGUUCCUGCUCAGGUACCUUAUUCCUUCCACAGGAGAACGGUCAGAGCAGCACCUGUUACCUAUCCUGACCUCCUCAACUGGCUGGCCCUGGCAGGAGAGCCCAACUGCUCUGACCCCCUCCUUGCAUCUCUUGUGUAGAUAACAAUUUCAUAAUCAAUCCAAAGCACUUUAGUGAUACUUACAAACUUCAUCAUAAAGUUUGAAAGCAGCUGCUUUAAGCAGUCAUUCAAAAAAUAAAAGCACACAUAAAGCUUGACCACCGUUAAUUCACUUUAUGUAGUCCUUCUCUGUGGAUUACGCAGAAUAGCACAAAGUGAGAAGAAGCUAUUCCUUGCACAUCUAAACCCAUCCUGCGUUGUUCUGGGCUUUUCUCCUUUGGAGAAAGAAGCUUAACAUUUAGGAAUUUCAGUUGCCUUGUCUCUUCAGAGUAAAUAGCUCACUUAGCUAAUAAGGAAACAAAACCAUGCAUAUGACACUACUUACUUAAGAUUAUGAAGUAUGGAAACAACACUGAAAUAUAUAAACUCUUACGUCUGAGAACUGGUUGAAUUCCAGGUUUCAUGCUAACAAAAGCAAGCAAAACGUCCCAUCUACAGCACUUGUUUCGGUGCAAUAAGCAGACAGCGUGUGAAACUGAAUAGUUACAGCUACCGGUCCUACAGCGCACAGGUACAGCCAGGGAGCUUGGAUCCAGAUCUCAAGAAAAAAAGCUGAAGGUUUGGCCAUUAGAGUAGCAGAAAUAAAGUACAUUUAAAUUUUACAUGCAUCUCUGAGCAAGUUUAUUAUUAUUAUUAUUAUAAGAACUUCUUUUUUAAAAAAUACAGCUGCUCAGCUUCCCAAAUCCCAUUACAAAAGUGUGGGGAGAAGGAGCCUUAUUACCUGUGGAAUUCUCACGUGGGUCUUAGUCGGCGCGUGGUUUCUAAUCCUACAGAGGUCUGCUUCACUUAUUUCACCCGGCUUAUCACAAAAUCAGCAUCCCACACCUGCCUCUCUUCUGGUCGAGCUUGAUAGUUUCCCUCAGAUAACCCUCAGCAACAGCCUGCCGCGUGGGCUAUACAACACACCACAGAUAGAUAGAAUAAAUCUGCUUUUCUACCCAAGAGCCUCAACCAGCAGGCUGGUUCAGCAGAAUGCCAGUUGUGGGAAGCAGGGCAGCACCAGCGACGUGAGGAUCCUACUGGCCUGUUAGCGAUGCAUCUCAGCAAGCAGGACGUGCCAGUGCAGUUGCACGAGUUCGCCACACUCCGCAUAAGUAUCCCAACAAGACAAGUGAGCGUCCAUGAAAAAAUAGAAACCCCGGGGAAAAUGGGUACGGUGUGGUCAGAACAGAUACGUUAUGAGAAACCAGUUGUUGCAAAUUUCUCCAAUAUAAUUUAAAACUUAGUGCUGUCCAUUGAAAUCUGCCUUUCAGGUGAAGUUAUCAUUACUUCAAAAGUUAUGCCAUUCAAUUACAAUUCCUACAUCUGUUAAUAACUAAAACAUCUAAUCAAAUUAACUAAGCUACCGUUCUGUCUACAGUUAUGACAAUAUAUAGUGAAAGUUGGGUUUGAACUGAACAACAAUAUAUAGCACUUUUGUUGUAUUACUCCAUAGUGGACAACAGUUAUACAUGAAAGAAGAAAGAAGUAUCAUCAGCAUGCUAGGUGCAAUAUGCGUUUAGAAAAGAAACAAAAAUAUAUAUAUAUAUAAUAACCAGAAGCAAUGUUCAUCCACUCUUAACUGUCCUGGGGAAAAAAAAAAUGCUAUGAGGAAUGCUAUAGUGAGUUUAGAUGCCCAGAUUUUUGAUGGUACUUUACGCUGUAUUGUUGAACGAUAACAAAUACCUAUUUGGGAGCAUAUCAUGUCUGCUUUAGGCUUCUUGGAGCUACUGCCUUGAAGGCAGGAGUGCCAGAUUCUCUGGAGAGGCUGAAGAGAGGGAGGUAUCUGCACACAGAUCUGGGCACCUGCACCUUACGUACCACAAACCGCUCUCUCUGCAUACACACAGAUGCCGUAAGCGCUUAAGUUAAAUACCUAAAGUUAAGCCGGGUGAAGUAUAGUCCAUUUAACAGCACAAAUCUUUUGUUUAGAAGAGAAAUAAUACUUAUAAGGACUGUGCUAAUUGCAAGUACUUUGCUAACAGAGCUGUCAUUUCAAGAAAGCUUCAUUCUGAUAACUUCAUUUUUAUGUACCCUACUCUCUGCAUUGGCUGUAGGGGAGCUAGGCAGUAUUUUGCCUUAAACCGCUUGUAAUACAAGCCUAAAAUGGGCUUCAAAUCAAGUCCUCAUCUCAGGAAAAACAAACAAACAAAAAAAAACCCCUGAAGUAUUGUUUCAGGUAUAAACCUUUCAGUUUCUUUAGCCACUCUGCAACAUCUCUGCUGUUAUCUCUAGCCUUUACAACUACAUUUGCAUGUUUAGUGACCAGAUUUACACCUUUCCUACCACUCCACCAUCGGUUAGGCAGGAGGUUUUCAACUACAUACGGAAUGCAACUAAGAGGUAUGCAAACUAUUUUCUGUCUUCACUCCAGGAUUACAAGUGCAUGGUCUCCCCUCUUACUUGGGGAUUAAGGUACUGAAUAAGUUGAUUGUUUAUUUUUUGUGUACUUCCUACGUGGUUUUAGUCUACUGCAAUCCCUACAGGCAAUUAGCUCAGCAGCUCAGUCAUGGGAGAGAAAAAUCCAACACUUAUGACCACAAAGCUCCUAGCGGGCAACUAUUGUACAAUCAAACUGUGAAGUCUUUUUAGAUCCCUUUUCUUUAAGCAUAAGAUGAUUAUAUUACCUUGUCUAGAAAGAAAAUUCCCAUAAACAUUCGGUAAACAUAAACGUCUCUCUUUUACACAGACUUCAAUUUGCAGUAUGCUGUUGUGCGAAUUUACAGCACACUAGCUGUUCUGUACUAACUCCUUACAGGGACAGUAAACACUUAACACACACAUAACACAGGCAUAAGCAUAUACCAAAAAAGCUUUACUUCUUUCUAUUUUGUACUCAGGAUGCAUCCAAACGUUGCAGUAGUUCAGAGGGACAGAGUAGCUAGAGUACUUGACAUUUACACCUCAUAUAGGACUUUUAAUUUUCUGAAGCUUAGCACACAGUAAACUAGGGUCCUUUAUUAGGAAGAAUCGUUUUAAUGUGCAAGAACACUUUAUUUGCGACUCAAACGUAUCUGGUGCCCUAUCGGAAAGGUUUCUUUGUCAGCUCUACAUUGGAUCAAUUAGCAAUUUCUAAACUUAUUUCUCACUUUGUUUUGGGAGUUUCACUGUUUCUUCCUCUGCUGCUUGACCUCUUUUUGCCCCUACUCCUGGAUCGAGAGGAACUCCGACUUCUGCUCCGACUGCGUGUUCGACUGUAACUUCUGCUGCGACUGCGUCCUCUCCUCUUUCUCCCUCUGCUGCGUGACCUCCUCCUUUCUCGACUUCUCGACCUGCCAGACCGGCGCCUCCUCUUGUUUUUGCGGCGAUUCUUUUUUCUCUCAGAUUCCCCAUUUCUCCGGUAAGAAUGAUCUGGGCUUGGGCUGCUCCUUCUCCUUGACCGGCCAUAAUAGUCAUCACGAUGGCUCGAUCUGUUUCUCCUUUCAGAGUUUUUAGACAACUGAUUAGUCCGUUCCGGAGAAACGCGUAUGUCUCUAUUGGCCUCCCAGAACUCAUUGUUUGGAUUUUUGAAUACAUGAAGAAAGUUGCAGUGUUUCCCUCUUGGACACUUCUGCCUUUCAAAUAAGCCACAAAUAGCAGUCUUCCAUCUUGUCACAGGACAAAAUUCACAGUGAAGCUGCCGGCCUGCGUACCAUCGGCCACUGAAUAGAGCAAGAG
rnacentral:lncRNA from 1 species